rnacentral:rRNA from 1 species
ACAUCCAGAGAACUUAGCAGAGAUGCUUUGGUGCCUUCGGGAACUCUGAGACAGGUGCUGCAUGGCUGUCGUCAGCUCGUGUUGUGAAAUGUUGGGUUAAGUCCCGNAACGAGCGCAACCCUUAUCCUUUGUUGCCAGCGGCUCGGCCGGGAACUCAAAGGAGACUGCCGGUGAUAAACCGGAGGAAGGUGGGGAUGACGUCAAGUCAUCAUGGCCCUUACGGCCAGGGUUACACACGUGCUACAAUGGCGCAUACAAAGAGAAGCGACCUCGCGAGAGCAAGCGGACCUCACAAAGUGCGUCGUAGUCCGGAUUGGAGUCUGCAACUCGACUCCAUGAAGUCGGAAUCGCUAGUAAUCGUAGAUCAGAAUGCUACGGUGAAUACGUUCCCGGGCCUUGUACACACCGCCCGUCACACCAUGGGAGUGGGUUGCAAAAGAAGUAGGUAGCUUAACCUUCGGGAGGGCGCUUACCACUUUGUGAUUCAUGACUGGGGUGAAGUCGUAACAAGGUAGGCGUAGCGAG